rnacentral:rRNA from 1 species
CGGACGGGUGAGUAACACGUGGAUAACCUACCUAUAAGACUGGGAUAACUUCGGGAAACUGGAGCUAAUACCGGAUAAUAUAUUGAACCGCAUGGUUCAAUAGUGAAAGACGGUUUUGCUGUCACUUAUAGAUGGAUCCGCGCCGCAUUAGCUAGUUGGUAAGGUAACGGCUUACCAAGGCAACGAUGCGUAGCCGACCUGAGAGGGUGAUCGGCCACACUGGAACUGAGACACGGUCCAG